GACGAACGCUGGCGGCGUGCUUAACACAUGCAAGUCGAACGGGCCUUGUCCCCUUUUUUUUGGGGGUGGGGUUAGUGGCGAACGGGUGAGUAACACGUGAGUAACCUGCCCCUCACUUCUGGAUAACCGCUUGAAAGGGUGGCUAAUACGGGGUGUUCUGGCCUGCUCGCAUGGGUGGGUUUGGAAAGAUUCGACCGGUUUUGGUUGUUUUGGUGGGGGAUGGGCUCGCGGCCUAUCAGCUUGUUGGUGGGGUGAUGGCCUGCCAAGGCUUUGACGGGUAGCCGGCCUGAGAGGGUGGGCGGUCACACUGGGACUGAGACACGGCCCAGACUCCUACGGGAGGCAGCAGUGGGGAAUAUUGCACAAGGGGCGCAAGCCUGAUGCAGCGACGCCGCGUGAGGGAUGGAGGCCGUCGGGUUGUGAACCUCUUUCGCCAGUGAAGAAGGUCCUGCUCUUUGUGGUGGGGUUGACGGUAGCUGGGUUAAUGAAGCGCCGGCUAACUACGUG
rnacentral:rRNA from 1 species